rnacentral:lncRNA from 1 species
AUAUAAAACUUUUUAAAAUAUGAUAAAAUAAAAUACCAUUACAUCGGUUUUAAUGAUCUCUUUUGACUUCCUGCAAGCGUCCAAUAGUAAUGACAUUGUUUAUUGAGUCGUCUGUCUGUCUGUUUGUCUGUCCGUCUCUGUCAUGAAAAAAAAUCGGAUGAAUCGGAAAACAAACGUAAACUAGGAAACUGACAAAGUCAAGAAAAGACACCAUCGGUCAUUUUAAAAAAAAACAUGCUCCACAAGAAAAUCGAAAUUAAUGGAGAUUCUUCCAUUGGUAUUUAAAAAGGUUGUGUAUCCAUCAAAGCACAUUUAAGAUAGAUUGGUGAAUGAAUCUUAGAUAGACAGACCGAUGAAUAAGUAAUUUUGUAUCUUGCCUAGUAAUCAGUUAAAUGUAAAACCAUCUAUCGUACUUACUGCCAUUCUAAACCAUGUAAAUUGCUAUCUAUAUCCGUAUUUACUUUUCUUCUAUUAAAAUCAAAUUUAAUAUAUUGUUGUAAAAAAACAAAGACAAAAAUGCAUCGAUAUCUAUACAUAUAUUGGCAAACUGUGUGCACAACAAUUUUAAAGGCAUCGUCCUAUAAUUCAUCCAGAGUCCGUGUCUUAUUCUAAGUAAAAUAUGAAUGAAACGACAUCAUAGUAUAAGAAUCAGCAUGAGGUACGAGAUAUGUUCUUAAUACGCUAUUUGAUUUAUUAAUAUUUAUUCUUUUUUUUUUUUUAUCUAAAAACAGCUAGUUGAAAAAAAUCAAAGAAACUGAAAAAAAAACCGAAAACAUAAAACAAAAAAAUAAAAAUAAAACAAAAAAAUUGGAAAUAAAGAUACAACAAUUACAAUCAGCCUGUAUGCAUCUU